rnacentral:rRNA from 1 species
GGUGCAUGGUUGUCGUCAGCUCGUGUCGUGAGAUGUUGGGUUAAGUCCCGCAACGAGCGCAACCCUCGCCUCUAGUUGCCAGCAUUCGGUUGGGCACUCUAGAGGGACUGCCGGCGACAAGUCGGAGGAAGGUGGGGAUGACGUCAAAUCAUCAUGCCCCUUAUGACCUGGGCUACACACGUGCUACAAUGGGCGGUACAAAGGGCUGCGAACCCGCGAGGGGGAGCGAAUCCCAAAAAAGCCGCUCUCAGUUCGGAUUGCAGGCUGCAACUCGCCUGCAUGAAGCCGGAAUCGCUAGUAAUCGCGGAUCAGCAUGCCGCGGUGAAUACGUUCCCGGGCCUU